CAAGGAGAGACGGGAGAGGGCGGGUGUGCGUGUGGCUGCAAUUCUGCACGUUGGACAAGGCCAGGAGAAGGGAGAGUCCCGAAAUGCAGGAUGAGGUAGGGCGAGAAGACAGUCGGACAGCUCCCCUUAUCUCCCUGCCGACAACCGCGCUCCCGCAAGCCGUACCACCUCAAACCGGCCUAGGGCCCUACCUCUGUCCCUCGCCCCCCAACGCGCCCGGAGAGGUGCGGGUGGAGCAGGCCGGCUUGCGCAUGCGCGCCGCUGCGGCCAAACACUGAACAGAGCCCAUCGCCUCUCCUUUUAUCUCCUGUUGUGACUCGGGCUAAACCCGCAGCAGCUUCAGAAGUCCGUAGGCGGCGGGACGCGGUGGAGAGUUCUACAGUCUCUGCCGGUAACUCUGGAACUUGGGUACCACCUGGAACAAACAAAUGUAGAAAGACAUUAACAAACUGGAGCAGAUUCUGAGGAUCUGACUGUGCUGAUUUGAGUCUGAAGAUCCCAUCGUGGGACAAAUGGGGGAAAGAAGCAACAUGUACUGAAUGUCUACUUAGAGCAGAAGAGAGAAGGCAAAAAGGCUGGAGAUGAAUUAACUUGCAGAAAGCGUACUGCUACUGCUAAGAACUGAACCACACCCUAAGGCCACACAGGAGAAGAGUGAACAGCGGCCAAAAGAUAUUGUGAUUUGCUUGAUGUGAUUACAGAAAUGUUUUUGUUGUAUACCUACUAUGUGCUUAUAAAGACUAUUCAUUCAGUGGUUUAUUGAAAUACCUAAUAAGCCAAGAUCCUAUGUGCUUCUAAAAUUAUCCUAAGAUUUUUCCUCAGAAGUUUAGCUUUUUCGUAAAAUGCCACACUCCAUAAGGGCAAGAAUUUUGCCCUACUCAUUUUUGUUUCUCAAAUGAAUAACACUGUGCCUGAUACAUAUGAGCAUUCCAAAUGUUUGCUGAAUAUAUGAGGAAGGAAUUAAAAUAAUGUAUUAAUUGGA